rnacentral:rRNA from 1 species
GAAUUACUGGGCGUAAAGCGCACGUAGGCGGACUUUUAAGUCAGAUGUGAAAUCCCGGGGCUCAACCUCGGAACUGCAUUUGAAACUGGAAGUCUAGAGACCAGGAGAGGUUAGCGGAAUACCGAGUGUAGAGGUGAAAUUCGUAGAUAUUCGGUGGAACACCAGUGGCGAAGGCGGCUACCUGGACCAACACUGACACUGAGGUGCGAAAGCG